GAAGGCAGACCCGGGGAACUGAAACAUCUAAGUACCCGGAGGAAAGGACAUCAAUUGAGACUCCGUUAGUAGUGGCGAGCGAACGCGGACCAGGCCAGUGCUCUUAUCAAUCGAACUCGAACCACCUGGAAAGUUGGGCCGGAGUGGGUGACAGCCCCGUAGAGGUAGGAAAGAUAAGAGACUUGAGUAGGGCGGGACACGUGAAAUCCUGUCUGAACAUGGGGGGACCAUCCUCCAAGCCUAA
rnacentral:rRNA from 1 species